rnacentral:rRNA from 1 species
UACGGGGGGGGCAAGCGUUGUUCGGAAUUACUGGGCGUAAAGGGCUCGUAGGUGGCCAACUAAGUCAGACGUGAAAUCCCUCGGCUUAACCGGGGAACUGCGUCUGAUACUGGAUGGCUUGAGUUUGGGAGAGGGAUGCGGAAUUCCAGGUGUAGCGGUGAAAUGCGCAGAUAUCAGGAGGAACACCAAUGGCGAAGGCAGCUCGCUGGGACGUGACUGACGCUGAGACGCGAAAGCGUGGGGAGCAAACAGG